rnacentral:lncRNA from 1 species
GGACCAAACUAGAGACCUGAAAUUUCCUAACCUGAUGAACUUCAGUCUCUCCAGGUUUGUCCAGGUUUUCAAACACAGCUUCUUGCUUGUCUGCUCGAACUUCAAUAAGGUUGCACUUAUAGUUAACAGCAAUAUUCCUCUCCUCUAUUAUUUUAAGCAAUGCGUCAGCGUAUUUUUUAACACCAAAAAUGACACCAAGUGAAGUGUUGAACAUUAUGUUUGCUUUGGGUCGUUUUCCUGUUUUCCUCCAGUAGGCCUCAGAUAAAUACAUGAUUUUCUGAGGAGCCCCUGCACAUUUCACUGGAGUGUUUGGAAAAGUGAAGAUAGCAUUUCCUUCCUUGAAAUCUUGCAAGGC